rnacentral:rRNA from 1 species
GACGAACGCUGGCGGCGUGCUUAACACAUGCAAGUCGAACGGAAAGGCCCUGCUUUUGUGGGGUGCUCGAGUGGCGAACGGGUGAGUAACACGUGAGUAACCUGCCCUUGACUUUGGGAUAACUUCAGGAAACUGGGGCUAAUACCGGAUAGGAGCUCCUGCUGCAUGGUGGGGGUUGGAAAGUUUCGGCGGUUGGGGAUGGACUCGCGGCUUAUCAGCUUGUUGGUGGGGUAGUGGCUUACCAAGGCUUUGACGGGUAGCCGGCCUGAGAGGGUGACCGGCCAGAUGGGACGGGAGUAAGGACCCGCACACCUUCGGGGGGGAGGAGGGGGGAAGUUUGAAAAAGGGGGGGGCGCAAGAUGGAGAAACCCCGGGGGCGGGAGGGAGGAAUGCGGGUUGGAAACCAUUUUCGCUUGUGAGGAAGGGUAAUGAAGGUAAAGGGAGAAAAAGCCCCGGGUUACUUCGUG